rnacentral:precursor_RNA from 12 species
CUCCCAGCUAGACUCAAGCUCCCUCAGGAAGCUGGUUUCAUAUGGUGGUUUAGAUUUAACUAUUCAUUGUCUAGCACCAUUUGAAAUCAGUGUUCUUGGAGGAAGAAUGCCUGCCUUCAUCAGG